rnacentral:rRNA from 1 species
UACGUAGGUGGCAAGCGUUGUCCGGAAUUACUGGGCGUAAAGGGCGCGUAGGCGGCCUGCUAAGUCGAACGUGAAAUCCCUGGGCUCAACCCAGGAACUGCGUCCGAUACUGGUUGGCUUGAAUCCGGGAGAGGGAUGUGGAAUUCCAGGUGUAGCGGUGAAAUGCGUAGAUAUCUGGAGGAACACCGGUGGCGAAGGCGGCAUCCUGGACCGGUAUUGACACUGAGGCGCGAAAGCCAGGGGAGCAAACGGG